rnacentral:rRNA from 1 species
GACGAACCGUCCAAACGUUGUUCGGAAUCACUGGGCUUAAAGGGCGCGUAGGCGGGCUAUCAAGUCCGGGGUGAAAUCCUCCAGCUUAACUGGAGAACGGCCUCGGAUACUGAUGGUCUCGAGGGGGUAGGGGCACGCGGAACUGUGGGUGGAGCGGUGAAAUGCGUUGAUAUCCAUAGGAACUCCGGUGGCGAAGGCGGCGUGCUGGACCUCUUCUGACGCUGAGGCGCGAAAGCCAGGGGAGCAAACGGG